GGCAGUGAAGCUCAGUGGUUAAGCCUUGAACUACUGAUUGGAAGGACGUGAGUUCAAACCCCAGCACUGCCA